rnacentral:rRNA from 1 species
GCGGAGGAAAAGAAACCAACAGGGAUUGCCCUAGUAACGGCGAGUGAAGCGGCAACAGCUCAAAUUUGAAAUCUGGCUUCGGCCCGAGUUGUAAUUUGCAGAGGAAGCUUUAGGCGCGGCACCUCCUGAGUCCCCUGGAACGGGGCGCCACAGAGGGUGAGAGCCCCGUAUAGUUGGAUGCCUAGCCUGUGUAAAGCUCCUUCGACGAGUCGAGUAGUUUGGGAAUGCUGCUCAAAAUGGGAGGUAAAUUUCUUCUAAAGCUAAAUACCGGCCAGAGACCGAUAGCGCACAAGUAGAGUGAUCGAAAGAUGAAAAGCACUUUGAAAAGAGGGUUAAAUAGCACGUGAAAUUGUUGAAAGGGAAGCGCUUGUGACCAGACUUGCGCCGGGCUGAUCAUCCGGUGUUCUCACCGGUGCACUCUGCCCGGCUCAGGCCAGCAUCGGUUCUCGCGGGGGGAUAAAGGCCCUGGGAACGUAGCUCCUCCGGGAGUGUUAUAGCCCGGGGCGUAAUGCCCUCGCGGGGACCGAGGUUCGCGCUCUGCAAGGAUGCUGGCGUAAUGGUCAUCAGCGACCCGUCUUGAAACACGGACCAAGGAGUCAAGGUUUUGCGCGAGUGUUUGGGUGUAAAACCCGCACGCGUAAUGAAAGUGAACGUAGGUGAGAGCUUCGGCGCAUCAUCGACCGAUCCUGAUGUUCUCGGAUGGAUUUGAGUAGGAGCGUUAAGCCUUGGACCCGAAAGAUGGUGAACUAUGCUUGGAUAGGGUGAAGCCAGAGGAAACUCUGGUGGAGGCUCGCAGCGGUUCUGACGUGCAAAUCGAUCGUCAAAUCUGAGCAUGGGGGCGAAAGACUAAUCGAA